rnacentral:rRNA from 1 species
AUUGAACGCUGGCGGCAGGCCUAACACAUGCAAGUCGAGCGGAUGAGAGAAGCUUGCUUCUCGAUUCAGCGGCGGACGGGUGAGUAAUGCCUAGGAAUCUGCCUGGUAGUGGGGGACAACGUUUCGAAAGGAACGCUAAUACCGCAUACGUCCUACGGGAGAAAGCAGGGGACCUUCGGGCCUUGCUAUCAGAUGAGCCUAGGUCGGAUUAGCUAGUUGGUGAGGUAAUGACUCACCAAGGCGACGAUCCGUAACUGGUCUGAGAGGAUGAUCAGUCACACUGGAACUGAGACACGGUCCAGACUCCUACGGGAGGCAGCAGUGGGGAAUAUUGGACAAUGGGCGAAAGCCUGAUCCAGCCAUGCCGCGUGUGUGAAGAAGGUCUUCGGAUUGUAAAGCACUUUAAGUUGGGAGGAAGGGUUGUAGAUUAAUACUCUGCAAUUUUGACGUUACCGACAGAAUAAGCACCGGCUAACUCUGUGCCAGCCGCCGCUGUAACAC